rnacentral:piRNA from 1 species
UGUCAUCAUGGUACAGGAGCCUAGGG